CGUGCCAGCAGCCGCGGUAAUACGUAGGGUGCAAGCGUUAAUCGGAAUUACUGGGCGUAAAGCGUGCGCAGGCGGUUAUGUAAAGACAGUUGUGGAAUCCCCGGGNUCAAACCUGGGAACUGCAUCUGUGACUGCAUAGCUAGAGUACGGUAGAGGGGGAUGGAAUUCCGCGUGUAGCAGUGAAAUGCGUAGAUAUGCGGAGGAACACCGAUGGCGAAGGCAAUCCCCUGGACCUGUACUGACGCUCAUGCACGAAAGCGUGGGGAGCAAACAGGAUUAGAUACCCUGGUAGUCCACGCCCUAAACGAUGUCAACUGGUUGUUGGGUCUUCACUGACUCAGUAACGAAGCUAACGCGUGAAGUUGACCGCCUGGGG
rnacentral:rRNA from 1 species